CUCCCCUUCAUAAGACAAAAUUCCGUGACAAUCUGUCUAUGAAAUAUUGUCUCAAUACCCACAAAAUAUAACCAAAAUAUAACCUUCCUUUAAUAGGACAUAAUUUCAUAGUAUUUAUCUGUGAAAUAUUGCCUCAAUUCACACAAAAUAUAACCUCCCUUUAACAAGACAAAAUUCCAUAACAUUCAUCUGUGAAAUAUUGUC
rnacentral:lncRNA from 1 species